UCUGGAUACAUGUAAUAGAAAGUAUGGGACGGAGGGAGUACUGGCUGCUGUAAUACUAAGGCUGGUCAUAGUGGGAGUAACAAAUGUGGUAACAUAAGUGCCAACUAACCAAAUUUGGUGAUGUGGCAUCUUAUUAAUGAGGAGAGAAAAGUUUGUGAUAAUUAGAUAUGUUACCAUAACAUCACACAAACCAAAGUAAGAUGAGUCUACAACCUAAUAAAUGACACAAUGCAUGACACCAUAUAUAUAUAUAUUACUAGUUUACUACCCACUAUGGAGGUAGUAACUUAGGUAGUGUUUGGUUCUAUAGCGAGGUGGAAUGGAACGGAACGGUUCUAUUCUUAUAGGAAUGGAAUGUAAUGGAACGGUUUUACUUUUCUAUAUCCUAAGAAUCAAACAUUUAGAUCACUGGUUCUAUUUGGAACCAACUCAUUCUUACAUUUUUGAGGAAUGAGAUGGUUGGCAUAUUGAAGGAAUAUUUCCUUUUGAGAUCAUCCUUAACUUUUGGAACCAAACACAGGAAUCAUCUUUUCUGUGUUCUAAGAACCCAACACGAAAAUCAUCUUAACUUUUGAAACCUUAACUUUUGAAACCAUUCCAUUACACUCCGGUUCGUGUUCUCAGCCAAACACUGCCUCUUCAAAGUAACAAAUACAGUACUACCGAAGAAAAGUUACUUCGUAGAUCUCUUCUCAAAGCGGCACUCCCCGUCGCCGGCGGCCGCCAGAACCUAGUCUGUCCAGCCAAUGCCGGCGGCACCGGCCGCCGCCUCCUGGCGCCGGCAUGCCUCCUCCACGCCCAGAGCCCUCCUCUUCCUCUUCCCGGCUCUCAUCCUCCUCCUCCUGGUCCUCUCCAGAGCCCCAGAUCUCACCUUCUCCCCCACCACUCCCGCCGCCGCCCCACCCCGCCCCCUCCUCUCCGCCCCCUUCGACUGCUACGCCUCGCCGCAGGCCUCGCCGGUCUUCGCCGGCCUCGUGGAGGGCGUGCCCCGCCCCUUCUUCUACUCCCUCGCCGACAUGGGCUCCCUCCCCGACCGCCCGCACAGGAACAUCGCCCGCCUCCUCAAGGGCAAGCGCUUCCGCAAGCCCGACAUCUCCGAGACCAUCCAACAGCUGCUCGGGGGGAAGCUUUCCGGUGAAGGCGGGGUGGUGGUCGACGUGGGCGCCAAUGUCGGGAUGGCGGCUUUCGCGGCGGCCGUCAUGGGCUUCCGGGUCGUCGCUUUCGAGCCCGUCUUCGAGAAUCUGCAGCGCAUUUGCGAUGGAGUGUACCUCAACAGGGUGCAGGACAAGUUGGUGGUGUAUCAUGCUGCGGCUUCUGAUCGACUUGGGAACAUCACAAUGCAUAAGGUUAUUGGACGACUUGACAACAGUGCUAUAUCUGCAACUGGUGCAAAGUUAGCAUUCAAAUCUAAUGAAGAAAUUGCUGUCGAAGUUGCUACAAUCCCAUUGGACGAAGUCAUUUCGGAUACUGAGCGAGUGGUUAUGAUCAAAAUUGAUGUUCAAGGUUGGGAAUACCAUGUUCUGAGAGGUGCAUCAAAGUUGCUCUCAAGGAGGAAAGGUGAAGCUCCCUACCUUAUAUAUGAAGAAGAUGAGCGCCUACUGCAGGCGAGCAACAGUAGUGCACAAGAGAUAAGGGCAUUUCUUGGUAAUGUUGGUUACAAUCACUGUACGCGGCGUGGCACGGAUGCUCACUGCACAAAAGAAUAGACAGAUGAUUUUUGUGUGGUACUUCGACGCUCCUAAGCUGAGGAUUGUAUAUGAACAUUUUAACAGUCAGAUAGGAUAUGCUGAACUAAUUUCAGCAUUUGCUUGGUGACGCAAUGGAAAAAAUUCUGAUUUUGACAGACAUAAUCCUUAGAUGGCAUAUCCGGUCAGGGCCGCACAUGCUUGCUGGAGUGCUUAUCCCAUGGCUGCAGGAAUUGCUCGGAGCCAGAUCAAGCAGAACUUUGCCCCAAUGUCAAUAAGUAAUCUCUAUGUUUAUUAGGUGUACUUUUUUUUUUCCUUUCCAGCAUGUACAAUAUGGUGUAAUUAUAUCAAAUAUUGUAUGAUUUCUUAGAUGAGAUAGAAAUGCAAAUAUGGAAAUUUGAAAUGACAGUGUAAAUAUGGCUUUCUUGAUCCACAUUGUUUUUUGCUUCUUUG